rnacentral:rRNA from 1 species
AUGAACGCUGGCGGCGUGCCUAAUACAUGCAAGUCGGGCGAACGGACGAGAAGCUUGCUUCUCUGAUGUUAGCGGCGGACGGGUGAGUAACACGUGGAUAGCCUACCUAUAAGACUGGGAUAACUUCGGGAAACCGGAGCUAAUACCGGAUGAUAUUUUGAACCGCAUGGUUCAAAAGUGAAAGACGGUCUUGCUGUCACUUAUAGAUGGAUCCGCGCUGCAUUAGCUAGUUGGUAAGGUAACGGCUUACCAAGGCAACGAUGCAUAGCCGACCUGAGAGGGUGAUCGGCCACACUGGAACUGAGACACGGUCCAGACUCCUACGGGAGGCAGCAGUAGGGAAUCUUCCGCAAUGGGCGAAAGCCUGACGGAGCAACGCCGCGUGAGUGAUGAAGGUCUUCGGAUCGUAAAACUCUGUUAUUAGGGAAGAACAUAUGUGUAAGUAACUGUGCACAUCUUGACGGUACCUAAUCAGAAAGCCACGGCUAACUACGUG